rnacentral:misc_RNA from 1 species
GAUGAAGAACGUAGCGAAAUGCGAUAAGUAGUGUGAAUUGCAGAAUUCAGUGAAUCAUCGAAUCUUUGAACGCACAUUGCGCCCUUUGGUAUUCCUUAGGGCAUGCCUGUUCGAGCGUCAUUUAAACCUUCAAGCUAAGCUUGGUGUUGGGUGACUGUCCGCUUCACGGCGGACUCGCCUCAAAAUUAUUGGCGGCCGGUACAUUGGCUUCGAGCGCAGCAGAAACGCGAACUCGGGCCCGUCGUAUUGGCCCCCAGAAGCUAUCUUCACAAUUUUGACCUCGGAUCAGGUAGGGAUACCCGCUGAACUUAAGCAUAUCAAUAAGCGGAGGA